rnacentral:misc_RNA from 1 species
UCUUCAUUUUUCUUUUACUCAUUAGCCCUACCAAACCCACAAAACAAUCCACUAUGGGUUCCUCAAUUUCCUUCAAAAGGCUUCUCUUGGAAUCCUCAUCAGAAUCAACCUCAACUACCAUGACGAACUUGCACCCAAAACAAUCACAAAGCUCGCACGAUUCUUCUUCAACAAAAUCUAGGGGAUCAGUGUUUGGUGCUAAGGCUCAUGAAGUUCCUAGCGGACCAAACCCUAUAUCAAAUAGGUAAAUAAGUUUUAUGGAAGGGAUAAAUUUGCA